ACUACGAGAUACUGAGAAGACUUCAACUGUUAAAUGAGACUCACCUUUACUCAGAGUUCCAGAGCAUCAUAUUUUAAUAGUAAAUUAGCUCCGGUUGGUAUAAAUGCGGAGGUGCUUCGACGUAUAGGACAGGUAAAUUAUGAACUUCGAGAUGUAGAAAGUGGUAACACAGGAAUUUAUCAUGCAAAGGAUAUAUGGUCCUAGAAAGGUUGAUCAGUCUUUGGAAAUUAUAACUCACAAAGCCUGAUUUUGGGAGGCGGUGAAUUGUAAGAAGUGUUCCACUCCAGUUCGAAUCUACUAUGUAUGUUAGAUAAAUUUUCUUAUCGAAUAGGCUUUUGUUUUCAAUUGAUUUGUACGAGUAUGUACUGAAAAUAUUUUUUCAUUUGAAAGAAAACUUCAGGCUGUUUAUUUAGUUGAUUAAAAGGCAAGAUAUUUUUUUGUGUCAAAUAAUUUUUGGUUUUUCUCGAAGAAAUUAUUAUUUUUUGAAUUGGCAAUUUCGCUGUGGCUCGGACUGCGUAUAAUAAAUUGGAAGCCAUUAUAUAUUUCUGGGAGGAAUUGGGAGCGUUUACCUCUAAUUCCUCCCAAGAAUUUUUUAUUUAAAGUUUUUUUCCGCGAGAGCGAUAAAAGGAAAUAGCAUCUCCAAAACACCACCAGUCUGGCCUUUGGCGGUUUUAGGCACACCAUUGCGAAUGAUUGUCGCCGAAAAUUUUAUUGUUGACCAACACGUAUACGCCACAAAACGAUAAUCAACCAUUCCAAGCUCUUGUCAAGAUUAUGGAAUAAAUAGAGUAAUAUAAAGAAAAUUUUGACAUGCAUAUAUAAAUUCUUGACGUUUCUUAAGAGGACCCAAAACAAAAAGGACAAUUAUAACAUAAUUGAGAGCGUAUCGUCAGAAGGGCGUCAUGGCUACCUUCUGCAUCAAUUGCUAGGAUAUUAAGAAUAACCGCAAUAUAUACACUAGUCUACAAUUUGCUUCACCAAAUUCUUUAUUUGUCAAGAGUGAAUAUUUUACUUUGAUUUUGUUAAGCACCAGAAUCCAGCAAAUACAACAGGCCUGCGGUCAACGAUGGAAUUUUCUCUAAAACCAAA